AUGUGCACAUUUUUUUUCCAAAAGAGGAAAACCCUGGCCUCUCCAUCAUGUGAUAUACACAGUCAUUUCAAAGUCACCGAGUACCAAAAGGGCAACCACACCGGUUGGUAUCAAGAUUACACAGCUCAUCCACAUAAUCUGUUAAACACGCCAACCAAGCUUGAACCUGCUUUCCCGUCUCAUUCUCUAGACAAUGAUGUAUUUCCGUUAUAUGUCGCAGUAAUGAAAAGGGGUAAUACCCGGUUCAAAAAAGAAAAGAACACGCCAACGAAGUUGAUUGAGCAAUGCAACCAUUUUCAGCCUGCAUCGGAAGGCCAUAAGCCCCUGCGUGUUUGCAUCUUGCAGUGA
rnacentral:rRNA from 1 species